GAUGAACGCUAGCGGCAGGCUUAAUACAUGCAAGUCGAGGGGCAGCACAGAUAGCAAUAUUGGGUGGCGACCGGCAAACGGGUGCGGAACACGUACACAACCUUCCUUUUGGUGGGGGAUAGCCUUUGGAAACGGAGAUUAAUACCCCAUAAGAUAUUGGGACCGCAUGGUUUUGAUAUUAAAGAUUUAUUGCCAGAAGAUGGGUGUGCGUAUGAUUAGGUAGUUGGUGAGGUAAAGGCUCACCAAGCCGACGAUCAUUAACUGGUGUGAGAGCCCGAACAGUCACAAGGGCACCGGGACACGGGCCCGACUCCUACGGGAGGCAGCAGUAAGGAAUAUUGGUCAAUGGACGGAAGGCUGAACCAGCCAUGCCGAGUGGAGGAUGAAGGUCCUCUGGAUUGUAAACUUCUUUUAUAUGGGGCGAAAAAGGGCCAUUCUUGGUCAACUGACGGUACCAUAUGAAUAAGCACCGGCUAACUCCGUGCCAGCCGCCGCCGUAAUAC
rnacentral:rRNA from 1 species